rnacentral:rRNA from 1 species
CCUACGGGAGGCAGCAGUGGGGGAUAUUGCACAAUGGGGGGAACUCUGAUGCAGCGACGCCGCGUGGGUGAAGAAGCGCCUCGGCGCGUAAAGCUCUGUCAGCAGGGAAGAAAAUGACGGUACCUGACGAAGAAGCCCCGGCUAACUACGUGCCAGCAGCCGCGGUAAUACGUAGGGGGCAAGCGUUAUCCGGAUGUACUGGGUGUAAAGGGGGCGCAGACGGCGCUGCAAGCCAGGAGUGAAAGCCCGGGGCCCAACCCCGGGACUGCUCUUGGAACUGCGUGGCUGGAGUGCAGGAGGGGCAGGCGGAAUUCCUGGUGUAGCGGUGAAAUGCGUAGAUAUCAGGAGGAACACCGGUGGCGAAGGCGACCUGCUGGACUGCAACUGACGUUGAGGCCCGAAAGCGUGGGGAGCAAACAGGAUUAGAUACCCGUGUAGUC